UUAAUUGAAGCCGAAAAAGAGGCCUUUCAUUGUUAAUGAAAUAAUUGAUUUUAAAAAUCCAAUUAAA
rnacentral:tRNA from 1 species